rnacentral:rRNA from 1 species
ACAACUCCGGGCGGGGGAUCACUCGGCUCGCGCGU